rnacentral:lncRNA from 1 species
AGAAGACGUGCAAAUUUAUUUUUAUUUUUAUUUAUUUAUUUUUUCAACCUGGCCCACGUGACGUACAGACCCGCCACAAAUACAAAGUUCAUCUGUCCACUCGGACAGAGUCUCCUUUGUAUUUGCACGGCGUACCAACUAUACAACAGGAUCACAACCACAACCUACAAUUACCAAUCAACAACCAAUUAAUGAUAUGUAUUUUCAUACAGCUAACAAUCCUUAGAGAUGAUGCAUACCUCUAAGCACUCCUUAGGCGCUGGAUGAUGCAAUGCACAGUACAACAAUCAUCCUAUUUAAAAGUGCUCCCCACACGGAAGCUUUUAUUUUUAAACUCUAAUUCAUUCAUUCAUGAAAACCAUUCGAAAACCUUUUUAAAACUGUUUCCCACACGAAAACUCUACUUUGAAAACCAGCUACCUCGAGGGGUAGAAAUCCACAAAGCGUAUAAAUCCAAUCUGAAACCAAGGAUCCAAAACCACAUAUCUAAAAACUCCAAUCUCAUGUAUAAUAAAACAUCCACAAUCUCAUGCAUACGAGGAAAACCAACUCAUUCAAACAUUCAAACAAUCAUAAAGAUCAUCUAAUCAUGCAUAACGGAAAUCACAACAUUCAAACAUCUAACUGAACCAUUUAUUNNN